UCUAAAAACUUGAUUUAACAACUAAGAUGCAUCUUCCAAAUUUUACCUGAUUGAAACUGAUAAAACCCUUGUGAAAAACUCAGAAACAGGAACAGUAGCACCUCUAUUUGGAGAUUACAGUGCAGCAGAUGAAGAUGCCCCAAGACAAUGUGGUCCAUCUAUGGGAGGACUAGGAUCCAGAAACUAUAAAUCUGCUGAAUGGCUGAGUGGUGUUCUACCUUGUACAUAUGCCGUGAUGAAGGUUGAUGGCAAUAAAUUUGUAAUUACCAGAGAAGAGCCUGGAACCCCUGUCAAAAUAAAUGGGUUUAAUGUCACCAAAAAGGACUACCAGAGGGCACUUGAUGGGGAAAUUGUAGAGUUGAUGAAUGUGGAUGGUAAUACAACCAGCUUAGUUGUUACAGAUGGAAAUGUGAUGAUAGAUGGAAAAUCUCUUAAUGUUGGUGACACAAUUUCUUUUGUGAUAUAAAUAUUCUAAUUAUGUAAUUUUUAAAAGAAAUUUUUGGAUUAAAUUCGAAUGAAAAAAGUG
rnacentral:misc_RNA from 1 species